GACGAACGCUGGCGGCGUGCCUAAUACAUGCAAGUCGAGCGAACAGACGAGGAGCUUGCUCCUCUGACGUUAGCGGCGGACGGGUGAGUAACAUGUGGAUAACCUACCUAUAAGACUGGGAUAACUUCGGGAAACCGGAGCUAAUACCGGAUAAUAUAUUGCACCGUAUGGUUCAAUAGUGAAAUACGGUUUUGCUGUCACUUAUAGAUGGAUCUGCGCCGCAUUAGCUGGUUGGUAAGGUAACGGCUUACCAAGGGAAGGAUGCGUAGCCGACGUGAUAGAGGGGUCGGCGGCCUGGGAGCGUGGCCGGGGUCCAGACUCCUACGGGACGCAGCAGUAGGGAAUGUUCGGCAAUAGGCGAGAGCCUUGCGGAGCAGCGCCGCGUGUGAGAUGGAGGUCUUCGGAUCGUAAAACUCUGUUAUUGGGGAAAAACAAAUGUGUAAGUAACUAUGCACGUCUUGACGGUAACGAGUCAGAAAGCCACGGCUAACUACGUG
rnacentral:rRNA from 1 species